AUGUGCCAGCAGCACUGUCCUUGCUCUGCUGAGUGCAGCUGCCCACCGUGGUCUCCCCAGUGCCCCAGCAAGGGGAAGGCUCUCUCCCCUUCCCCUGCCGACCGCCCACGUGCCAGCGCAGCCCACCCUGCGCUGUGGGGCUGGAGGAGCGUUUCUCCCAGAGCUGGCCACAUGCUCGCCCCUGGCUGCAAGCAACACCAGCGGCACCUGCUCUGCUCUUUCCUUCCAGGUCUCUUUGCUUGUGUGGGCUGCAUGCCCAGGCGUACGCGUCGCGGGAGCAGAGGCAGGGUGGCAAGCUCUGUCCCUGCCUGUCCCGUGAAUUUGCUGCUGCAGCGCCUGCAAGACAAGGAGGGUGACCGAGCGCAGGUGUACUGCCAGCUGGAGAGCGCCCUGUGGGAAGAGGGCAGCCGCCCGCCAUGCGGGGUGGCGAACCGGCUGCUGGCAGAGGUGUCUCGGGACCUGACGGCGGCCCAGGUGAGGGGUCACUCCCAAAGGCAAAGGGAGCCACCUGCCCGCGCUG
rnacentral:lncRNA from 1 species